rfam:Dictyocaulus viviparus strain HannoverDv2000 D_viviparus-1.0_Cont67.37, whole genome shotgun sequence.
GGGGGUAUAGCUCAGUGGUAGAGCGCUCCCUUAGCAUGGGAGAGGGCUGCGGUUCAAUUCCCCAUACCUCCA